UACAGAGACUGCAAGCGUUAUUCGGAUUCACUGGGCGUAAAGGGUGCGCAGGCGGCCAAGUGUGUGAGGCGUGAAAGCCCGGGGCUUAACCCCGGAAUUGCACCUCAAACUACAUGGCUAGAGCAUUGGAGAGGGUAGCAGAAUUCAUGGUGUAGCAGUGAAAUGCGUAGAUAUCAUGAGGAAUACCAGAGGCGAAGGCGGCUUCCCGGACAAUUGCUGGCGCUCAGGCACGAAAGCGUGGGGAGCAAAAGGG
rnacentral:rRNA from 1 species